rnacentral:rRNA from 1 species
CUUGACAUCCAGCGAACUUGGCAGAGAUGCCUUGGUGCCUUCGGGAACGCUGGGACAGGUGCUGCAUGGCUGUCGUCAGCUCGUGUUGUGAAAUGUUGGGUUAAGUCCCGNAACGAGCGCAACCCUUAUCCUUUGUUGCCAGCGAUUCGGUCGGGAACUCAAAGGAGACUGCCGGUGAUAAACCGGAGGAAGGUGGGGAUGACGUCAAGUCAUCAUGGCCCUUACGAGUAGGGCUACACACGUGCUACAAUGGCGCAUACAAAGAGAAGCGACCUCGCGAGAGCAAGCGGACCUCAUAAAGUGCGUCGUAGUCCGGAUCGGAGUCUGCAACUCGACUCCGUGAAGUCGGAAUCGCUAGUAAUCGUGGAUCAGAAUGCCACGGUGAAUACGUUCCCGGGCCUUGUACACACCGCCCGUCACACCAUGGGAGUGGGUUGCAAAAGAAGUAGGUAGCUUAACCUUCGGGAGGGCGCUUACCACUUUGUGAUUCAUGACUGGGGUGAAGUCGUAACAAGGUAGGCGUAGCGAG